AUACACAACGGCAGCUUUCCUACUGAUCAAUUAGUCCAGGCACAUUGACACAAGCCCCUGGAUUUUGCAACGUGAUGGCGGUGUUUGACAACUACCAUUCUGCUUUAGCUUUCCUCCAGAAUACCUGCCUUGCAUUGGCCCUGGGUAAAUGUUUCCCUUGGCUGUGAAUAGGCAAUUAAAAUUCUGAACCUUUUAUGGCUCUGGAAGCUUAUCCGAUGAAACAAUACUCAUCCAGGCGGAUGGCCCACCAGCGCAAAGGGCUGAGGCCGCUGUAAGCCAAGGUACGCAACGCUUGCUAAACAGGAAUCCCUGGAAUGAAUCCAUGCAUGAGGCCUUUGUGCCAUGUGACAGUUGAAGGCUGUGGUGACCCCGGAACCGUCCCACUCCGAGACGCCUUAACACCGUUUUUCUGCUGUUACAAACCACAGAGCAACGCGUGUGCCUCCUCCCGCCCUGGGGACUCUUUCUGUGGGAGAGGUGCCUGGAUUUAGAGGAGCGACCACUCUUCAUUUGAUCUUGGUCACUUUCCCAGUUGUCACUCGGCCCACAAACUAGGAUGUGAGCAGCAUAUUAAGAAUCUGCAGAGAUGUUCCCGUCUGCCCGGCAUAUGGAUGUCCUUCUGGGCUGCAAAGUGGCAUCCUGUGGGCAACUCCCCCCACAACAACCAGCUGCCAGCUCUGGGGAUUUGGGCAGCAGAUUUGGGGUUGACAGCAGAAUGACAUGAUCACCAGUUGACCUUGGCCAGGAUGCCAGCUUACUUUCUCGCUUACUUCUGCAGGUUCUUUGUUCUGCGGAAAAUAUUUAUGGCCAGGCAAGGUGGCUUACACCUGUAAUGCCAGCACUUUGGGAGGCUGAGGCAGGCGGAUCACCUGAGGUCGAGAGUUGGAGACCAGUGUGACCAACAUGGAGAAACCCCAUCUCUACUAAAAAUACAAAAUCAGCUGGGGGUGGUGGCGCAUGCCUGUAAUCCCAGCUACUCGGGAAGCUGAGGCAGGAGAAUCGCUUGAACCGGGGAGGCGGAGGUUGUGGUGAGCCGAGAUUGCACCAUUGCACUCCAGCCUGGCAACAAGGGAUAAACCCCGUCUCAAAAAAAAAAAAAGAAAAAAAAAAAGAAAAAAAUAUUUAUAAUGUAACUAAUAUAGCUAAAAUAAAAUGUAAUUUCAGUCUCAAGCCUUCAUUCUGUUAAGGGGACAGAAACUUAAUCUUGGUCAUCUUGGGGUCUCCCUCCCUGGGGCUGUGCCUGACUUCCAGGGGGCUCGGCGUUGGCAGGAUUUCUGGUGCUUGAGGUCACCUGUCAGCCUGUCUCUUGUCAUUGGCUAUCCGCCGUGCCAUCUGCUCCUGUGUGUCCUUGGCACUGUUCGCAUGUCUCCAGCUCGCUGGCUUUCUCUGCCACCUUGGAGCCACUCCUGGGUGCACAGGAGUCUUACUGCUCCCACGCUGUGCUGGGGCCUGGGAAGACUGCUGUGGCCUACCUGCCUCCGUGUAGCACACACACCCAUUUCUUCUUCUUCUUCUCCUUCUCCUUCUUCAGACAGAGACUCACUCUGUCACCUAGGCUGGACUGCAGUGGUGCCAAAUUGGCUCACUGCAACCUCCGCCUCCCGGGUU
rnacentral:lncRNA from 1 species